GAUGAACGCUGGCGGCGUGCCUAAUACAUGCAAGUCGAGCGAACAGACGAGGAGCUUGCUCCUCUGACGCUAGCGGCGGACGGGUGAGUAACACGUGGAUAACCUACCUAUAAGACUGGGAUAACUUCGGGAAACCGGAGCUAAUACCGGAUAAUAUAUUGAACCGCAUGGUUCAAUAGUGAAAGACGGUUUUGCUGUCACUUAUAGAUGGAUCCGCGCUGCAUUAGCUAGUUGGUAAGGUAACGGCUUACCAAGGCAACGAUGCGUAGCCGACCUGAGAGGGUGAUCGGCCACACUGGAACUGAGACACGGUCCAGACUCCUACGGGAGGCAGCAGUAGGGAAUCUUCCGCAAUGGGCGAAAGCCUGACGGAGCAACGCCGCGUGAGUGAUGAAGGUCUUCGGAUCGUAAAACUCUGUUAUUAGGGAAGAACAAAUGUGUAAGUAGCUAUGCACGUCUUGACGGUACCUAAUCAGAAAGCCACGGCUAACUACGUG
rnacentral:rRNA from 1 species